rnacentral:rRNA from 1 species
CACGGGGGGAGCAAGCGUUGUUCGGAAUCACUGGGCGUAAAGGGCGUGUAGGCGGUCAGGUAAGUGGAAUGUGAAAGCCCUCGGCUCACCCGAGGAUCUGCAUUCCAAACUGCCUGGCUUGAGUAUGGGAGAGGAUGAGGGAAUUCCUGGUGUAGCGGUGAGAUGCGUAGAUAUCAGGAGGAACACCGGUGGCGAAGGCGGAUCUCUGGGCCUUACCUGACGCUCAGGCGCGAAAGCUAGGGGAGCGAACAGG